rnacentral:sRNA from 1 species
AUAUCUCUCCGUACGGGAAGGAUGAGAAGCUUUGACUAAGGUUCGAUUCGAGCGCAGCGAGAAAGCGUUGCCGCAGGCAACGACCCGAAGGGUGAGGAGCGGAGCGACAAAUAAUCCUUCCCCCACCAUCA